GUGGGGAAUUUUGGACAAUGGGCGCAAGCCUGAUCCAGCAAUGCCGCGUGCAGGAAGAAGGCCUUCGGGUUGUAAACUGCUUUUGUACGGAACGAAACGGUCCGGGUUAAUACCCUGGGCUAAUGACGGUACCGUAAGAAUAAGCACCGGCUAACUACGUGCCAGCAGCCGCGGUAAUACGUAGGGUGCAAGCGUUAAUCGGAAUUACUGGGCGUAAAGCGUGCGCAGGCGGUUUUGUAAGACAGGCGUGAAAUCCCCGGGCUCAACCUGGGAAUUGCGCUUGUGACUGCAAGGCUGGAGUGCGGCAGAGGGGGAUGGAAUUCCGCGUGUAGUAGUGAAAUGCGUAGAUAUGCGGAGGAACACCGAUGGCGAAGGCAAUCCCCUGGACCUGUACUGACGCUCAUGCACGAAAGCGUGGGGAGCAAACAGGAUUAGAAACCCGUGUAGUCC
rnacentral:rRNA from 1 species